GCGGGAGUGGCGGAAUGGCAGACGCACCAGCUUGAGGGGCUGGCGGGAGCAAUCCUGUGCAGGUUCAAGUCCUGUCUCCCGCA
rnacentral:tRNA from 3 species